rnacentral:rRNA from 1 species
AGCGAACGCUGGCGGCAGGCCUAACACAUGCAAGUCGAACGAAGUCUUCGGACUUAGUGGCGGACGGGUGAGUAACACGUGGGAACGUGCCCUUUGGUACGGAAUAACUCAGGGAAACUUGAGCUAAUACCGUAUGUGCCCUUCGGGGGAAAGAUUUAUCGCCAUUGGAGCGGCCCGCGUCUGAUUAGCUAGUUGGUGAGGUAAAGGCUCACCAAGGCGGCGAUCAGUAGCUGGUCUGAGAGGAUGAUCAGCCACAUUGGGACUGAGACACGGCCCAAACUCCUACGGGAGGCAGCAGUGGGGAAUCUUGCGCAAUGGGCGAAAGCCUGACGCAGCCAUGCCGCGUGAAUGAUGAAGGUCUUAGGAUUGUAAAAUUCUUUCACCGGGGACGAUAAUGACGGUACCCGGAGAAGAAGCCCCGGCUAACUUCGUGCCAGCAGCCGCAGUAA